rnacentral:ncRNA from 1 species
ACAGUACAAACUGAGCAGGCGAUGAAUUAUUUAUAUUCAUGGGGCCGGGCCAAAUGGCAACAGAUGGAUUUAAACACAUCUGUGGGACAGU